CUACGGGGUGCAGCAGUGGGGAAUAUUGGACAAUGGGGGAAACCCUGAUGCAGCAACGCCGCGUGGAGGAUGACACAUUUCGGUGCGUAAACUCCUUUUAUAGGUCAAGAUAAUGACGGUAGCCUAUGAAUAAGCGCCGGCUAACUCCGUGCCAGCAGCCGCGGUAAUACGGGAGGGCGCAAGCGUUACUCGGAAUCACUGGGCGUAAAGAGCAUGUAGGCGGGUUAAUAAGUCAGAAGUGAAAUCCAAUAGCUCAACUAUUGAACUGCUUUUGAAACUGUUAACCUAGAGUGUGGGAGAGGUAGAUGGAAUUUCUGGUGUAGGGGUAAAAUCCGUAGAGAUCAGAAGGAAUACCGAUUGCGAAGGCGAUCUACUGGAACAUUACUGACGCUGAGAUGCGAAAGCGUGGGGAGCAAACAGGAUUAGAUACCCUCGUAGUC
rnacentral:rRNA from 1 species